rnacentral:tRNA from 1 species
GCGCCUUUACCUCAGCUGGAUAGAGGGUUCGGCUACGAACCGAAAUGCCGGGGGUUCGAGUCCCUCAAGGCGCGCCA